CCCUUAGAUGUCCUGGGCCGCACGCGCGUUAGACUGAUGCAUUCAACGAGCUUAUAACCUUGGCCGAGAGGCCUGGGCAAUCUUGUUAACGUGCAUCGUGAUAGGGAUAGAUUAUUGAAAUUAUUAAUCUUGAACGAGGAAUUCCUAGUAAACGCAGAUCAUCAAUCUGCAUUGAUUACGUCCCUGCCCUUUGUACACACCGCCCGUCGCACCUACCGAUUGGAUGGUCCGGUGAAGCCUCGGGAUUGUGGUUCUUGCCGCUUUAUUGUGGCGUGACCGCGAGAACUUGUCUAAACCUUAUCAUCUAGAGGAAGGUGAAGUCGUAACA
rnacentral:rRNA from 1 species